rnacentral:rRNA from 1 species
GACGAACGCUGGCGGCGUGCUUAACACAUGCAAGUCGAACGGAAAGGCCCUGCUUGCAGGGUACUCGAGUGGCGAACGGGUGAGUAACACGUGGGUGAUCUGCCCUGCACUUCGUGAUAAGCUUGGGAAACUGGGUCUAAUACCGGAUAGGACCGCACUUUAGUGUGUGUGGUGGAAAGUUUUUUCGGUGUAGGAUGAGCUCGCGGCCUAUCAGCUUGUUGGUGGGGUAAUGGCCUACCAAGGCGGCGACGGGUAGCCGGCCUGGGAGGGUGGACGGCCACAUUGGGACUGAGAUACGGCCCAGACGCCUACGGGAGGCAGCAGGGGGGAAUAUUGCACAAUGGGCGCAAGCCUGAUGCAGCGACGCCGCGUGGGGGAUGAAGGCCUUCGGGUUGUAAACUCCUUUCGCUAGGGACGAAGCUUUUUGUGACGGUACCUAGAUAAGAAGCACCGGCUAACUACGUG